CCUACGGGUGGCAGCAGUGGGGGAUAUUGCACAAUGGGGGAAACCCUGAUGCAGCGAUGCCGCGUGAAUGAAGACGGCCUUCGGGUUGUAAAGUUCUGUCGCAGGGGACGAAAAUGACGUUACCUGACUAAGAAGCCCCGGCUAACUACGUGCCAGCAGCCGCGGUAAUACGUAGGGGGCAAGCGUUAUCCGGAUUUACUGGGUGUAAAGGGAGCGUAGACGGCAGGGGAAGUCUGGAGUGAAAUCCCAUGGCUUAACCAUGGAACUGCUUUGGAAACUGUGCAGCUGGAGUGCAGGAGAGGUAAGCGGAAUUCCUAGUGUAGCGGUGAAAUGCGUAGAUAUUAGGAGGAACACCAGUGGCGAAGGCGGCUUACUGGACUGUAACUGACGUUGAGGCUCGAAAGCGUGGGGAGCAAACAGGAUUAGAUACCCGGGUAGUC
rnacentral:rRNA from 1 species